rnacentral:rRNA from 1 species
AAAAAAGGUAAGCUACUAAGAGCGAAUGGUGGAUGCCUUGACUGGUAAAGGCGAUGAAGGACGUACUAGACUGCGAUAAGCUACGGGGAGCUGUCAAGAAGCUUUGAUCCGUAGAUUUCCGAAUGGGGCAACCCAAUGUAUAGAGAUAUACAUUACCUAUAUAGGAGCGAACGAGGGGAAUUGAAACAUCUUAGUACCCUCAGGAAAAGAAAUCAAUAGAGAUUGUGUCAGUAGCGGCGAGCGAAAGCGCAAGAGGGCAAACCCAGUGCUUGCACUGGGGGUUGUAGGACUGCAAUGUGCAAGAGCUGAGUUUAGCAGAACAUUCUGGAAAGUAUAGCCAUAGAGGGUGAUAGUCCCGUAUGCGAAAAACAAAGCUUAGCUAGCAGUAUCCUGAGUAGGGCGGGACACGAGGAAUCCUGUCUGAAUCCGGGUCGACCACGAUCCAACCCUAAAUACUAAUACCAGAUCGAUAGUGCACAAGUACCGUGAGGGAAAGGUGAAAAGAACUGAGGUGAUCAGAGUGAAAUAGAACCUGAAACCAUUUGCUUACAAUCAUUCAGAGCACUAUGUAGCAAUACAGUGUGAUGGACUGCCUUUUGCAUAAUGAGCCUGCGAGUUGUGGUGUCUGGCAAGGUUAAGCAAACGCGAAGCCGUAGCGAAAGCGAGUCUGAAUAGGGCGCUUAGUCAGAUGCUGCAGACCCGAAACGAAGUGAUCUAUCCAUGAGCAAGUUGAAGCUAGUGUAAGAACUAGUGGAGGACUGAACCCAUAGGCGUUGAAAAGCCCCGGGAUGACUUGUGGAUAGGGGUGAAAGGCCAAUCAAACUUCGUGAUAGCUGGUUCUCUCCGAAAUAUAUUUAGGUAUAGCGUUGUGUCGUAAUAUAAGGGGGUAGAGCACUGAAUGGGCUAGGGCAUACACCAAUGUACCAAACCCUAUCAAACUCCGAAUACCUUAUAUGUAAUCACAGCAGUCAGGCGGCGAGUGAUAAAAUCCGUCGUCAAGAGGGAAACAACCCAGACUACCAGCUAAGGUCCCUAAAUCUUACUUAAGUGGAAAACGAUGUGAAGUUACUUAAACAACCAGGAGGUUGGCUUAGAAGCAGCCAUCCUUUAAAGAAAGCG